ACACAUGACUGCGAUUACUUUUAAAGGAAACGUAUGGACAUUAAUAAGGCUGGUGUUGGAGCAGAGAAGAGCCCAGGGACUCGGUUUUCCCCUCGACUUCAUUUGGCUUUGUGACAGGAUCCAUAACCCUCUCUGAAUCCUAUCAAAUGAUGUGGUAUGAAGUGUCAUCUUCUCUCUGAGCGCUUCUGAAGAGUUUCAUCUCUGCAGGGAACUGUCAUCAGGUUCCUCUUCCUUUCUCUCUCUCCCAUUCCCAUCAAUUGGAUGGGCUAUCAGACAUGUCCAAUCAGAGGCUAGUUCCACUGGUCAGACUGAAGGUGAUCAGCAGGUGAAGUUGCUCCCCUCUGCGUCUCUACUUCCUGUCCCACCAGGGCAGCAUCCUCUCCAUGGUCUUUAUCCAUCCUGAGUGCAGCGAAACAACACAAGUAGUCUCUGAGAUGCACAAAAGGAAUCGGGUGUCAUUGUGGAAUUUCCCCAGGGAUCCCAGAGUGUGCUGUAAAUGAAUGUGGCAUCUCAUUAACAAUCAACAUGAGGUGAAAACAUGAUUAAGUGAGGACAGGAAUUCUGGAAAAUCCAUGAUCAUCGCCUUCACGCAGAGAGCAGACACCUCUGAUCACACCGCCACGUUCUCUCUGGACAUCAGAGAUGUGAAUCCAUAGGAAGAUUAAGUGCGAGCCUCUCUUGGAUGUGAGGAAUCAUCACUGCGCCCUGAAUGCUCCAGCGCCCGGACCGGCUCACCGAACACACUGGCCCGGAACAGAGAACCUGGAGGAGAGCUGAUAAAACUAACGGAGCAGGAGAGGAAGCGAGCGUAUCGAAAAGUCCAACUUCCUGGGUCAGCUUCAAUUUGUAUUCAUGCAUUCAUUUUUUUUUAUGAUUUAUUUCACCCAAGGCUGAGGAAUCAGGCUUGGUGGUAGUGGACCAAGUCCAGUAUUCACUGAUA